rnacentral:misc_RNA from 1 species
AAUACUGUAGCAUGUAAACAUUGGAGCUGUGGGUGGGGAGAGGCAGCAACAGGUGUCAUCCCUGUCUCAUUUGUCAAUAUGUCUCGCUCCCAGGACACGUCCCACGAAGUGAAAUAUGUCUACGACCUGCCAUAUACAGAGAGGAAGCUCUUGUGUAAUAUUCUCGAUUCAAAUUAUGACUGGGAGAAGCUGGGUGGUAAGUAUAUGGGACUGAAAUGGUGUGAGCUUGAAGAAUUCCGGCGUGCAGAGCGUUGCGGAGAAUCGCCAACUAAUCGACUGCUCCAAGUAUGGGGUCAACAAAACCACACAGUAACUGAACUCUUUUGGUUACUAUGGAAAAUGGAUCAUUUUCAGGCAAUGAGAGCUCUGAAGUCUUGUGUACCAGAGAAGUACCAUACACUGUUCACUAAUGCAGAGCGACGGACCACAGAAAUUAUUAACAAACCACAACUAGUUGGGGGUAUAGUAAGGAGAGAGACUCAAGAACCAAAAAGAACUCUCAGACUUUCUUCUGAAAAUGCACAAAGCCCUGCAAUACAGACUUCACCAGGUUUCACCGAAAACAGCUCUACACUAGGUGCUGCAUCCCUACCCUCUCGAGCUGACUUUAUACUGGAAGCAGCAGCCAGAUCCAUUCAGAGUCAUUCAGAGCAACAAACAUCAAAUCCUCCUAUAUCAAGACUACAGCCUCAAUCUCCGAGGGAAGACAGUGAUGGAAGAACUGAGGGUGCCUGUGCUCUCGUUGCUCCUGCACACAACUAUAAGUCUCACAAUUUCAACCGUGGUGAAAGUCAUUCCAACUCCUACGUAACAUCUCCAAAGAUUCCUGUAACCUUCCUGUACCCAACAGCUACAACACACACCACUUCAAAUACAAGACCUCCAUUGGCUGAAAUUAUGCAGCCUAGAAUAGAAAAUAACAAUUCCAGGGAAAUGGAUUCAUUUAGAAAGAUCAACAACAAUGAAAUGUAUGGAACAUGUGGAGUACCAUCUUGUGAGGAUAAUAAUAUAGAGGAGUUACAAACAAGACCCAAAGCUCAAUAUGAUCCUCAGAAAGAUUAUUUGGAGAAGUUGGAGGAAAAGAGAGCAAAAGAGGCAGCACGAGAAUCAAGAGGCAAAGAAGCAAUUAAACACACUAAUUCCUCUGGAGGAGCAUCACUAGCUGUCUCAGACCAUCCCAAGACGGUUCCGCCACUCACAAAUCUUCAAGGGACUCCUGUGGAAUACCCAGGGGGAGAGCGACAUCGUCGAAUCUCCAGUGCCUCAGACACUUCAAGCCAUAGUACCAGUGUACCAGUAAUCCCAUAUAAAGAACUAGAGGAAGCUACAGCACUUUGGAGUCGAGAUCAUCUCUUAGGCCGAGGAGGCUUUGGUUGUGUGUUUAAAGGUACUUGGAAAAAUACAGAAGUUGCCGUUAAGAGAAUUGAACCUCAUGGUAAUGCUUCACUCGAUAACACUCGGCUGCACAUUAGUCAAAGUCUCGAGGAACUGAAGCUGCUACAGUCCUACCGCCAUGACAACAUUCUCCAGGUUUAUGGUUACUCAACAGAUCAUGAAUUGUCACCAUGUCUAGUGUACCAGUUUAUGCCUAAUGGAUCUGUUGAGGAUAGACUUCAGUGCAGGAAAAUUGAAGCUUUUGGUGAAGGUUCACCAUUAGGUGCUACUACUCCACUCACCUGGUGGCAGCGCUUCAGGAUAGCCUGGGGCACGGCAAGAGCUCUACAAUUUUUGCAUACUGUCAAGGAAAAACCACUCAUCCAUGGGGAUGUAAAAAGUGCCAACAUAUUACUGGACCAAAACUAUGAACCCAAAUUAGGUGAUUUUGGCUUAGCAAGAGAAGGAAAGAGCCAGUCAACUAGUAUGAAGGUGUCAAGAGUACAUGGUACCAAGCCUUACCUUCCAGCUGAUUACCUAAGGUCCAAAAAGCUGUCGGUAAAAGUGGAUACGUAUAGUUAUGGGGUUGUUCUCUUUGAACUGUGCACGGGACUUAGAGCAUAUGAUGAGAAGAGGAAGGAAGGAGGAAAAUUUUUGAAAGAUCUCGUAGACGACACUACCGAUGAGGAGUUACUCAGAGACAGAAAUGCUGGAAUCGGUCAUGAUGGUGAAGUGUUUACAUUCCUUUAUAAACUUGGAAAAGAUUGUGUACAGCAAACGGCAGGAAAGCGUCCAGACAUGACCACGGUCUUCAAGGAACUGGAGAGUUACGGUCUGGUCCUGGAUGAGAGGGCCCGAGCAAGAAGAAUUUCCCAAGGUGAAACGAGCUCAAUAUCGCCAUCGCCUCGUUUGCUCCAAAUGCAUUAUGACACUGCUGGAUCUCUUCAGUCACCUUCACCAUCCACCCAGCCAUCUCUUCCUCACUUCUUUAAUCCUUCUCCAUCUCCAUCAGCUGCUUCUAUGCUUCCUCCUUAUUCUCCGCCAUCUUCAAUUCCACCACGUUCACCUGUUCCACCAGGGUUAUCUCCAAAUGUACAUUUACCCCCAUAUUAUCCUGCAUGCCAAGGAGUGCAUGCAGAUGUUCCAAGAUUGGUUGCCAAUGGGCCAGUUGCAUAUCGUCCACGAAUAUUACCGUAUGGCGGAGCAGCUGCGUGGAAGCAGGGAACUGGGGGUAACAUAGUUUAUGGAAUGGAUCAUCUUCAACCUAGUGGUUCACCGUUUCAUAUGCCUCAUAUAAAUGUCGGUCCAGUCAUGGCUAAUGGUGUUGAGAGCAGAGACCCACCCAGCUACAGCGAAGCCACAUGCCGGCCUCCUCAUAAUGGUGCUGUAGGAGUAGCUGGAUGUGCUCCUCCAAUGAUACCACAGUUCUCACGGCUCGGUGUCAAUGAUGACCAUAACAGCCGAAAUAGUACUGAAUCUUGUCACACUGAUAGUGAUUAUGGUUGUUCUGAAUCAAGCUCAGUUGCAAACACUACUCAGAAUGUUGGAAUGGCAAAUGGUUCACGCAUUUUUCGCCAAGGGGCAGUGGUAGACACAAGAUUACCAACAGUCAUUCCAACAGUUAUUCCUCAGCAUGAGAGUAACUCGUCAAGGGAUAAUCCUGCUGCACCCUUUCCUUUAUUGACAGAACUAGGCAUGUCUAACCACACAGAAAUGCCUACUGCUGCAAAGAAGGAAUAUAAAUUAUUUGGCUGAAUUUUGUUAUCAACACAGCUUCCUAAAUUAUAUAAUUAUUAAAAAUUUAAAAAACAUUUAUCUGAUGUGUAUAUACAGUAUCAGAAAGGCUAAAUUUUACUUUGUGGCCUGAAAGAGUGACCUGAAUUUCAGGAUGACUGGAAAUUUUGCUUACUCAAUAUCCCUUUGUUGAAUGCCAGCAUUGGCACUGUUCUCCCAUACUAUGUUGAAAGUGGAGAUAGAGACCUCGAAGACUGCCAUGAGGAUACUGUAUUAAAUAUAUCCUCCAGACCCAGGGCUCUUCUGUCCUCCAGAUUGACUCCUUCACUUGUCUCUCUUAUGGUCAUCAACCCCAUUGUAUUGUUAAGAUCACUUUUGUUGGUAGGACCCUUCCAUCAUUCUUGCUAGUGCCAGAUGCUCCAUUCAGGAGCACAUCCCCCUCUCUAUGCCUGCAAUAGGUGUUGGAAAUUUGGUCAUGGUUCUGAGUGCAACAAUAAGAUGUCCCUUGGCUCUUGUGUUCAAUAGUAUUCUUGGUGACUCGGAUACUUUUGAUAUCGUUCACCUUAUGCGUUUCUGUUCUCGUAUUGGCAUCCUUGGUGAUAUUUAGCGCCCUCUGAUUAUCCUACACAUUUGAUGGUAUAUAGCCUUCCCGGUUUGGUGCCUUUUGAUAAUUACUUACUUGGCCCUUGUGUGGUGACCCUAGACAUUCUUGUACUGAUUGCUCUUCUUCCCAAGCUCGUUGCAUCAACUGCUGUGAGGUCCACCCUUCCUUUUCUUGUACAUGCAUCCUUUAUAAAUUUGAACAAGCCAUCCUCACUUUGAAGGAUCUUGAUCGUAUUUCUUUCCCCAAGGCUUGGUGUCAGGUCUGCCAUCUUGACGUUUUCUCUACCAUUACUUAUGCUCAUGUGUUGGAUCACAUUUACUCUUCCCCACCCUUCUUCCCUUCCUUCAUUCUCAAGUCAUUUCCAAAACUUAAACCUCCUUACACCUCGAGCUUCCCUUCUCCUCAGACUGUAGCCACAAGUGUUUCUCUUAAAUCUCUUGUCUAUCAUUUCCAACCUUCCUUUCCACUUGUCUCCUACCUCCCAGGUUAGCUCCAUUUCUCUAUUUGAGCCUACUCUUCCUUCCUCUGUGCCGUUUAUCACUUUUCGACCCCAUCUUUCUUCUCAGUCUUCCCCUCAGCUGUCCAUCCAGGCCACUAUCCUUCCUGUCACCUUUGUGUUGUCUGCUCUUGUUCUCCCUCUCCGACUGAGACUGUGAAUGCCUUUGCACAGUACAUCGCUACGGGUACACCCGUGUCUCAGAAUCAGAAAUGGAAACCUGGUUCCUCUUCCCCUCUUCCUCCCCAGCAGCAGUCGAUUGUUGGCAGUAUUGUAGACGUUGAAACAGAACUUGGAGCAGAGUAGAGAGCUGAGUGAGGCCGGAGUCGCAGAGCUCGAUGCGGGAGAGCGCGGCGGCUUGAUGUGGGAUGAUGAGUGUCGAAACUCAAUGAGAUGGUGAGUGUCUAAACUCAAUGAGGCCGAGAGCAUGGGAGCUCCAUGUGGUCGUAGUCUGCUGUCUGCUUUGUGCCGAAGCUGAAGCAUCUUGGGGUCGGUUGGAACUGUACACGCCGAGUGCUACAUUCUUGAGGUUGAAGAGGUGUGGUAACUCCCAAGCAUUUGUACUGAAGUUAACUGAAUCACUGUGGAAAUUAUAUUGAUGAUUAAUCGCUUCUCGAUUGCUUAUAUGAUUGGACUACACCUCACCUCAUCAUCCUCCAAUAGGUUGGAAGGAAUGUUAACUGUAAUUAGGGAAGAGAUAUUAAUGCUAAUGAGAGAGUGGAGCAGGUAUAUUGUUUACAUAAUAUACUCGCUACAGUGUAUUAAUAUAAAAUUUGGAGACACAUAACUACCUAUCUUUAUAAUGUACUAAUACAGUAAUUAAAUGAAUAUACAUUUCGGAGACUUAAUGAUAAGAACGAAAUUCACUCGGUCUCUUCCUCUCCUUAUCUAUAUAUUUCACUACAGUAUUUUAUUUUUGUUUUUCCAUCUACCUAUCUCUUCCCCCCUCCCUCUCUCCCUGUAAACCCCCAUCGCCCAGCCACUUGGCCUGUACGGUCUUGCUUCAUGCAGGCACCAUUCUUUUUCUCUGUCCCAUCCCUAAUCCUUAUCCUGAUUCCAUCCAAGUGCUAUAAUAUAUACUGUAGUUGUAAUGGCUUGGUGCUUUUUUCUGAUAGUUCCUUUCCUCCCUCCCUCCCUCUUUUUCGCGUCCCCUCCCUCCCUCUUUUUCCGUCCCCUCCCUCCCUAUUCCUCUCUUUCCUUGCCUCUCCCAGUCCCUUUCCCCUCUCUCUCUCUCUCUCUCUCCUGUUACCUUUUUACUCCCCUCAUUUCCUUACUGCUUCCUCCCCCACCCCCCCUUACAGAAGAAAUGCACAUGAAGACAAUUUAACAAUUGCCUAGAGAAAAUACACGUUAAACAGAUAGUGUGUUGUCUCAUGAAAAUAAGGUUUGGUUAACUCCUUGAAUUAAGGAAAUGAAUUCUCAGAUACUGUAUAAUGUGUAACAUUAAUUGGGAGCAAAGAAUCGCUAAAAUUUUGACGAGUAUAUAGAAAUGAGAAGAAUACACAAUUGUGCAAUGGUAAUAAUUACUUUGUUUCAUUAAUAUAUGCAUAGCCAUUUUUUAUUAUAUAUAUUAUAUAGUAGCUAUAAAUGUUUAUAAUAAUUGUAUGUAGUGUUGGUGCUGGUUAUCUGUGAUGCUGUGUUAUGACAUUUCACAGUGGGAUGGAUGUAAUAUUUUAAUGUAUUUAGCAUUCUUUACCUUUAUUGCGCCCCUAGUUUCAGUGUAUAUUGGCAGUAAAGCUUUGACUUGUAUCUUUUAAGAUUAUGACAAAAAUGCUGAGGCUACCUUACAUGUUUUAUCUUUGGAAUUCAUAUUUUGUCUUUCAAUAAAAAAUUAUAAAAAAAUCUACUAAUGUACAGUUAAGUGUAAAUAUAAUGGCUGCCACUUCAGUUGUGGGUUUUGAGCUUAUACUAUAAUAUAAAAAAAUUAUUAACAUAUAUUUUCUUUUAGCAAAAUGUGUAAAACCAUUCUUGUUUAUAUUGUAUUGAUGCAGCAUAUGCAAAUGUUGAAGAUAAGUGGCUAGCUACCACUAAUAAUAAAGUACCUGACAUCAAAA